rnacentral:lncRNA from 10 species
CGAGUGCUCUGCUGGAGAAUAAAGGGUCCCCCACCAUCUUAAGGCCAUUGUUGAGGGCAGCUGGAAGCACCAGAUUUGGAAGAACACAGAACAAGAGGACCAGCACCAUACCCUUCAUCUAAGGGAAGAAAUCGGAAGUUUACUUUAACAGUCCUGCAUGAGAGGGUCUGAACUGGAACAGUAUAAUCAGAAACAGAAAGGGAAGAAUCAAUACAAGACCAGUUUGGGUGGUGGGACCUAUAGGAAGUAGUGAGUAGAAAAGAGGGCAGUGGGUUAGUGGGGGUGAAGCAGAGUGGGGAGAGGAUGAGAUGACCCCUAGCCUUCAACACUGGGCAACAGAGGAGACAGCUCCAUCUACAGCCUUGGACUAGACCCUGGGGAGGAAGAACGAGCGGUCCAGGCUACUCGGGUUUCUGGCAAGAGCAGGGUGCCCAGGCUGGGACCCACACAUCUCUCUUUCACUUGGGCCUUGCCUUUCUUCCUAGACCCUGGGCCCAACCCUUUCUGAAGCAACAAAGAGGGGAAGCAACUAAGGAGAAAGGCAAAUUGCAUGGAGUUUAGCGGCAGGAAAGAUUCCUCAGCUACCUGCCCAAAGGACUGAGACAUGCAUUAAGAUAUCUUUACCCUUCUGAGGGCGUGAUCAUCAUUCCAAUUCCACCGGGCUUUUACAAG